GUUGUUGGGUAGGGGAGCGUUCUGUAAGCCGUUGAAGGUGUGCUGUGAGGCAUGCUGGAGGUAUCAGAAGUGCGAAUGCUGACAUAAGUAACGAUAAAGCGGGUGAAAAGCCCGCUCGCCGGAAGACCAAGGGUUCCUGUCCAACGUUAAUCGGGGCAGGGUGAGUCGACCCCUAAGGCGAGGCCGAAAGGCGUAGUCGAUGGGAAACAGGUUAAUAUUCCUGUACUUGGUGUUACUGCGAAGGGGGGACGGAGAAGGCUAUGUCAGCCGGGCGACGGUUGUCCCGGUUUAAGCAUGUAGGCGGAGGUUCCAGGUAAAUCCGGUACCUU
rnacentral:rRNA from 1 species